rnacentral:rRNA from 1 species
CCUACGGGUGACAGCAGUGAGGAAUAUUGGUCAAUGGGCGCGAGCCUGAACCAGCCAAGUAGCGUGAAGGAUGACUGCCCUACGGGUUGUAAACUUCUUUUGUCAGGGAGCAAAGGGCGCCACGUGUGGCGCUUUGCGAGUACCUGAAGAAAAAGCAUCGGCUAACUCCGUGCCAGCAGCCGCGGUAAUACGGAGGAUGCGAGCGUUAUCCGGAUUUAUUGGGUUUAAAGGGUGCGCAGGCGGAAUGUCAAGUUAGCGGUAAAAUUUCGGGGCUCAACCCCGUCGUGCCGUUGAAACUGGCGUUCUUGAGUGAGCGAGAAGUAUGCGGAAUGCGUGGUGUAGCGGUGAAAUGCAUAGAUAUCACGCAGAACUCCGAUUGCGAAGGCAACAUACCGGCGCUCAACUGACGCUCAUGCACGAAAGCGUGGGUAUCGAACAGGAUUAGAUACCCUGGUAGUC